CAGAGCCCGAUGCGGGGCUCGAACUCAGGGACCGUGAGAUCAUGACCUGAGCUGAAGUGGGACACUCAACUGACUGAGCCACCCAGGCGCCCCAAGAAGGCCCUUGUGUAGCCUGGACCAUACCUGCCACUUGUAAGACAGGACCUUUCUAAUGGUGGAAUGGGCCUUGCUGGAAAGUGGACUGGGUGGAGAGCAUCUGGUGUCAUUGGGAUCACUUUGAAACUACCGCCUCACAUUGGGAGCUGGCUUGAGUCAACUGGUCACCAUGGAAUUUCUUUUUUUAGUGCGUAAACAGCCAAGUUACAGGCAGCUGUUGCCCCGUCCGGGGUGGAAAGCCGCCUGUUGAUGUGGAGCUGCCUGGCUCAUAUUUCUUAGGCAAACAGAUGCCAUGUCUCUCAACUCACCAAACAGGAAGCCCAGAAACUGUGGUUUGGAGACCACACGUCUAGUUAUGUCUAGUUAUUCAGGGGGGCUUCACCUGGGGAGCCCUCUCUGAAUGUCAGAGCUACAAGAUAAAGGACAUAAAUGGGAGCUGGGGUGCUUCUUCUUCUUAGGGGCCACCGCAGGAGGCGGUGAGCACUAAGUGCCAGGUCAGUGAGGAAACUCUGUUUUGGGGCCAAAGCAUAAAAAACCCCCAGCCACAAACCACUGAGCCUUGAGUGAAUGCUUGUUCCGUGCAGGUUCUGAGCCCAGGGAGGUCCUCUGAGGGGAGAGGAGGCAGGGAGCUGGAAAUUCGAAGCAGGAGGAAGAAUUAUGCUGGAUGGGGUAAGGCCCUUCAAGAGGUGGGAAUAGCAUGAGCAAAGGCAUGGAGGUAGGAACGUAUACGUGAGGAAGAGUUUGGUUGGAACAGAGUUUACAACAAUAAAUAAAUCCAACACACCCCACUGAGUGUCUUCUGGGUGCUAAACACUGCUCAAAUUACCAGGAUGAAGUUGGUAAACCAGACUGCCUCCUCUGUAGACAUUCUAGCAUAAUAACAGAUAUAAAUAACAAAUGUCAUUUAUCCUAAUAAGCCAUGUAAAUAAUAAAUAGAAAUCAGAACACUACAAAUAAUGAUAGCUCCCAUUUAUUGAGAGCUUACUACAUGCCCUGCCCUGUUUCAAGUACUUUAUAUAUAUUUACUCAUUUAACCCUCAAAAUGCCCACCUAAAGGAAGCAUGGGUCUUGUCUCUGGUUCACGGACGAGAAAGCUUAGGCAUGGAGUGGUGGAGGCAGGAUUCAAACCCAGAGCCUGUGCUCUGACCGUGUUUCCUCACUACUCCAGUACCCGCAGUAAGAAGGGGUGAGGUCAGCU